rnacentral:lncRNA from 1 species
ACAAAGUCAUUAUACAAAUAGAUUAAUUGUAAGCAAAUAAACCGGUCUGCGAUCCACCUGUAAAUUUGCCAAUCAGGACAUCUAAUUAUCCGAAUAAAUUGAACAGACAAGUUAAAAAUUCAUCAAUUAAACCCUAAUUUCAGUUAUGCCGCCACCUCUUCCACCACCCUACGCCGGAUGAUAGUGCCGAUUGCCACCCAAGUCCAUUAUUUCACCGGUGCGCUCCCUCUCUCUUAUUCUUUCUUUCUCUUUCUCGCACAAUCAUAGACCCACAGAUAUUGAACUGCAAAGAUAUAAAAUGGUUCUUGUUCACUACUUUAAGUUAAUGAAACAUUUUGGUCUGAUGUUAUAUGUAUUCACUGUUGUAACCAGAAAUUUAAAUAC